rnacentral:rRNA from 1 species
GAUGAACGCUGGCGGCGUGCCUAACACAUGCAAGUCGAACGGAGUCCAGCCUUUAAGACCUUCGGGUCAAAGAGGGGAAGACUGAGUGGCGGACGGGUGAGUAACACGUGGGCAACCUGGCUCAUAGAGGGGGAUAACAGAGAGAAAUUUCUGCUAAUACCGCAUAAGCACACACUGCCGCAUGGCAGAGGGUGAAAAGAGAAUCGCUAUGAGAUGGACCCGCGUCUGAUUAGCCAGUUGGCAGGGUAAGAGCCUACCAAAGCGACGAUCAGUAGCCGAUCUGAGAGGAUGAACGGCCACAUUGGGACUGAGGCACGGCCCAAACUCCUACGGGAGGCAGCAGUGGGGGAUAUUGCACAAUGGGGGGAACCCUGAUGCAGCGACGCCGCGUGAGUGAAGAAGUAUUUCGGUAUGUAAAGCUCUAUCAGCAGGGAAGAUAAUGACAGUACCUGAAUAAGAAGCCCCGGCUAUACUCC